rnacentral:rRNA from 1 species
UCGAGCGGCAAGGUCUUCGGACCCUAGAGCGGCGCACGGGUGAGUAACGCGUACGCAAUCUGCCCUUCAGUGAGGAAUAGCCCUGGGAAACUGGGAUUAAUACCUCAUAACAUUAAAGAGCUGCAUGGCUUUUUAAUUAAAGUUCUGGCGCUGAAGGAUGAGCGUGCGUCUGAUUAGCUAGUUGGUAGGGUAACGGCCUACCAAGGCUACGAUCAGUAGGGGGCGUGAGAGCGUGACCCCCCACACGGGUACUGAGACACGGACCCGACUCCUACGGGAGGCAGCAGUAAGGAAUAUUGGGCAAUGGAGGCAACUCUGGCCCAGCCAUCCCGCGUGAAGGAUUAAGGCCCUAUGGGUUGUAAACUUCUUUUGUUUGGGAAGAAAUCUGGACAUUUAUGUGCAGUUGACGGUACCUUACGAAUAAGCACCGGCUAACUCCGUGCCAGCAGCCGCGGUAAUACGGAGGGUGCAAGCGUUAUCCGGAAUCACUGGGUUUAAAGGGUGCGUAGGCGGUUUGAUAAGUCAGAGGUGAAAGCUAGCAGCUUAACUGUUAAAUUGCCUUUGAUACUGUCAGACUUGAAUCAAGUUGAGGUAGGCGGAAUGUGACAUGUAGCGGUGAAAUGCAUAGAUAUGUCAUAGAACACCAAUUGCGUAGGCAGCUUGCUGGGCUUGAAUUGACGCUGAGGCACGAAAGCGUGGG